rnacentral:rRNA from 1 species
AUUGAACGCUGGCGGCAUGCCUUACACAUGCAAGUCGAACGGUAACAGGUCUUCGGAUGCUGACGUGUGGCGAACGGGUGAGUAAUACAUCGGAACGUGCCUAGUAGUGGGGGAUAACUACUCGAAAGAGUGGCUAAUACCGCAUGAGAUCUACGGAUGAAAGCAGGGGAUCGCAAGACCUUGUGCUACUAGAGCGGCCGAUGGCAGAUUAGGUAGUUGGUGGGAUAAAAGCUUACCAAGCCGACGAUCUGUAGCUGGUCUGAGAGGACGAUCAGCCAAACUGGGACUGGGACACGGCCCAGACUCAUACGGGAGGCAGAAGUGGGGAAUUUUGGACAAUGGGCGCAAGCCUGAUCCAGCAAUGCCGCGUGCAGGAUGAAGGCCUUCGGGUUGUAAACUGCUUUUGUACGGAACGAAAAGCCCUGGGUUAAUACCCUGGGGUCAUGACGGUACCGUAAGAAUAAGCACCGGCUAACUACGUGCCAGCCGCCGCCGUAAUAC